UCAGAUUUCAGCUCAAAGCAGUUUCCAUCCAUGAAACCCUAUUCCCUUUAGUGCUAAUGCAAGGUAUUGCUUGACGCAGGGAUGUGUCAGGCAAUACAGUACACCUUUUUGGGUACCUACUCUGAACAUGGUGCUUGCAGUUACUUUGAAAUAUCCCCUGUUUCUACAGGGUUCCUGGGCUCAACAGCCUCAGUGGAGUUGAGAAAUGCUCUGCUCUGGAAAUAGCAGUCAGCAGAAAGAGGAUCAUUGCUGCUUGUGGAGCUGCAGAGCAUCUGUGCCACAUAGUGGAGCAACUCUGAUUUUGUCAGGCAGAGGACAAGAGUAGUCAACACACUAUUAGCCACUGUGUUACGAAUUCAAAGUUUUUCAACAAUUUCUUGUUUAACUUCUACAGGUGCAGCUUACUAUGCUUUACUUUAAUAAGGAAGGACAUGGCAUUCACCAAAGGACUUGCAGGAUGGCCCAGGACAAGGAUACAGAGGAACAGGACACCAAAAAGGCUUGAAGAGUUCUUGAGAUAAAGCUGAGGAGCUGCAGAUUUAAAGCUGCCCAUACCUGGAUUCCUUCCUGCUCUUCUUGUGAGAGCUAUUUCACAACCUAUUGCAGCUCAUUGGUAAAAUCUUAAUUGACAGAGGAGAAGCUGUGAGUAAAUCAAGCUACUUUUUAGGAAAUCCUGGAACAUGAAGUUGUCAUUGGAGAGGAAGAAGGGUUGAGUACAAUGGGUGUUAGACAGGGACAGUUUCAGUUCUUUGCUCUGUCACUUUGUUACUAAAUAAAUUGUAUGAGUGGAUAUCUAUGGGAUCUGUGCCUCCCUCUUCCAUCUGUGAAGAGAAAUAAUAGCACCCCUCAGGCAGUGCAUAGCCAAUGUGAUAAUGAAGCAGUAUAUUAAAUAUAUUAGAUAAACUUGGCAGCAUGAGGAUGGUUGGAAAGUAAUUUAAAUUAAUCACGGGAUUUUAUGGUGAAAGAGGUCUUGUCCUUCCUCUUCUUUGAAACAGAAUCCCACAGACAAGCUAGAGGAGGUCUGCUGUACCUCUUUACUAUAGCACAUAGGCCAUGAUGCAGCUACUGUAUCAUUGAACAUAUUAAAGGGGACAGGAUGGAUAGUUUCCCGUAAACUUUGCAGAGUUGCUAUUUCCUAUAUAUGUAUAUAUAGGUCAGAUCCUGCAGUUUCUCUGCUUGAACUAACAGUUUCACUGGAUUCAGUGAUUUGGAUUUUAUUGUACAUUUUUUUCUUUCCAGCUCUCAUGGUUUUUAGCACAGCAUAGGGAUGAGAUUCAUGAGAUGGUGCUAGUACAGGUCCAUGGCACUGAAGAACACCAUGGUGAGAUACCCAUGCAGGAUGUCUGCUGCACAGCAUCAGUGUGCCCAGGCAAAUUUUCUGCUAGGAUUGGGUGCAAUUCUCUUGGACAUGGGGUAAAUGCUGAUUGUAGGGCAGCUCUGAGCUACCCAAAUGAAGCAAAUGCUAAGAAGGCAAAUGUGAUCUUCUGGUUUAUUGGGCAAAGUAUCUCUGGUAGAGGUGAGGGAGUACACCACUGAUUUGCAAGGUACUGAGGAGACCCUGUCUAGAACACUGUGUGUUAUUCCAGUGUUGGGAAAUCCUGCAGGCAAGACUCUGGUGUUAAGAAAGAUUAGAUUGAGACAGCAGGGCUAGUUAGGAUGAUCAGCGAACCAGUAAGGUAGUCUUAGGACAGGACACUAACAGUGCUUCUGUCUUUGAGCCUGUAAAAUGAAAUUUGAGGCAGGUUGUGGCAGACCUUUAAAAAUAUGCAAAGGACCAGGCAACUUGCUUAGCUGGUGCCUUUCAUAUAUCCUGCAUUUUGUUGUGCUAACCCAGGGGCAUGUCACAGUCAACCUCAGAAAUGCAGAUACUGAAGAAACCACUCCUGCGAAAACCAGCGUGGUUUGGUUGUUGACUUCAACAUGAGGAAGACCUACAGAAAACUCCCUUUUCCUUGCUCUGAAUAUUUAGCCCUUAAGUGAAGUGGAAUUAAUACCAUUGUGCUGUGUGGCUUGAAUCUAGCACAACUGGAGCAGAAGUCAAUUUGCUGUAUUUGAAAGAAAAUUAAUUAAGGCCUCAUUUGUUUCCCUGAGAGAGAAAAACUCUGGGUCGUUUCCAGGAGAUGAUUUUUUUAGCUUCUCUGCUACAGGCCUAUAUGUACAGAACAAAUGUUGUACGGCUUCAAGCCCCAAAUCCCCAUAAACUCCAGGUUGUGAGCUGAGUCUUUUGGCUCCCAUGAUGGCAUGAGAGCCCUGGCAGCUGCUCCAGAACUGCAUGUUGCAUUUCAAGUCACAGAAAGAAAAAAUCUACUAGUGCAGUGAAUAUUUGUAGUACUCUGAGAAGGGAAAUGUCAUGGCAAGGAUGAUACUCAUAGCCUGGUUUAGCCUUACUUGUCCUUCAUCAGCAGGCUAUAAACUUGAAUGCUCCAGUAAGGUAGGAGGGUGGAUGGUGUGCCAGGAUUUCUCUUUUGUUGUUGUUUUUCCCAUGUUGCUUCAGUAGUCUUUUGGAGAUGAGCUGCUUUAUUUACAUCUACU